CCUACGGGAGGCAGCAGUGGGGGAUAUUGCACAAUGGGGGAAACCCUGAUCCAGCGACGCCGCGUGUGGGAAGACGGUCCUCUGGAUUGUAAACCACUGUCCCCAGGGACGAAGAUGACGGUACCUGGGGAGGAAGCUCCGGCUAACUACGUGCCAGCCGCCGCGGUAAUACGUAGGGAGCGAGCGUUGUCCGGAAUUACUGGGUGAAAAGGGAGCGUAGGCGGGGAUGCAAGUUGGGUGUCAAAACUACCGGCUCAACUGGUAGUCGCACUCAAAACUGCAGCUCUUGAGUGAAGUAGAGGCAGGCGGAAUGCCUAGUGUAGCGGUGAAAUGCGUAGAUAUUAGGAGGAACACCAGUGGCGAAGGCGGCCUGCUGGGCUUUUACUGACGCUGAGGCUCGAAAGUGUGGGGAGCAAACAGGAUUAGAUACCCCAGUAGUC
rnacentral:rRNA from 1 species